rnacentral:lncRNA from 1 species
AGCCAUGACAGUGGUAUGUUUGUACUCCUGCUCCGUGCCCUAGAAUGUUCCAAUGGGCACUCUGCAGCUGCUCAGGAGAGAGACUUCCACGCUCAGUGUGCCCCCGACUGCCACCCUCCAUGUUCACAGACAUCCUCGUCCUUCUCACUGCCACUUAGCUACCCACCCUUCCUCCUGACUCCUCUUCACUUUCCUUUUAUUUUUUUUGAGGCGGAGUCUCACUCUGUCAAACAGGCAGAAGUGCAGUGGUGUGAUCUUGGCUCACUGCAACCUCCACCUCCCAGGUUCAAGUGAUCCUCCUGCCUCAGCCUCCCGAGUAGCUGGGAUUACAGGUGCCCACCACCACGCCAGGCUAAUUUUGUAUUUUUAGUAGAGAUCGUGUUUCGCCAUGUUGGCCAGGCUGGUCUCGAACUCCUGACCUCAAGUGAUCCGCCCACCUCAGCCUCCCAAAGUGCUGCAAUUACAGGCGUGAGCCACUGCGCCCAGCUCCUCUUUGCUUUUCUUUUUGGCCCUGCAAAGACUACAAUAAUCAGCCUGUGACUAUCUUCACGGAGCUCAUCCAUCCAACCCUACUAACACGAAGACUCCUAUGAAAAACAAGUCAAGUGUUCCAGGAAGGAGAAGAUCCUUCCCUUGCUACUGGCAAGAUGUAUGCAUAUUCCGGAUCCCAGGCCCCUGACCAACAGCUCAUGGACAGCACCAGAGAGGGGACCGCACUUGAAAGAGCACUGCUCCAGCAAAUGAUGAGGUGGUUCUGCCUAUCUGACUGAGUUAACACAGACCUGCUGAGCCAGUUUUCUGCCAAAUUACCACAAUGAAGAAGAAAUGAGUGUCCAGGACCAUCCAGAAAACGAGGCGCAAGGAUUGAGGCCAGUGGUAUGUGACAAUUACUAUUCUGCCAAAGUAAAUUUAGAAGCUGAAAGAUAGGAUGCCACUUCUGAAGAUAUGCGGCUGUUUUUAUGCCCUGAAGCUUAGCUCUCCGCACCACACUUCAUGGGACUCGCUGACCUUUAAGUCCCUUUCAACCUUGAGAUUUGAUUCUGUAACUAG